GCUGACACGCUGUCCUCUGGCGACCCGUCGCUGGAGAGGUCGGGCCUCUGGAUGCGUGGGGGGUCUCUGGUCUACCGGUGACCCGGCUAGCCGGCCCUGCUCUGGGUUGAGCCGCCGGCUGGGGCCCGUGUGCCUUGCCUCCCGUGCAUCCGUCUGAGUGUCCCGGCUCCCUGGUGCCGCCCUGGGCCCGGGUCUCUUCCGACUCACCUGGGCGUGGCGGGGAAAGGCCGGUGCGGGCGGGCGGGCUCCCGUCUGCCUGCGUGUGCGCUCCCUGCUGCGGGCACCUGGGGCGGUCGCGACGACCCCGUUCCGUUGGCUCCGUGCCGUGCGUGUCAGGCGUCCUCCUCUCCUCUGGGGUUGUCCGCCGUCCCUUCCCCGGAGCGGGGCUGGCCGGCCUCGGCCCGUGGGCUCCGUGGCUUUGCUGAGGUUGACUCCUUCGCCCCGCUCUGGGUCUCUCCCGAUCGAUGUGGUGACGUCACGCUCUCCCGGGCCGCGACCGAUCCGCGGUGGGCGAGGGACGGACAUUCUCGGUGAAUGGGACCGCUCUUCUCGUCCCGCCCGCGGGGGCCCCCUUGCCUCUCCUGCACCCUGCCUGUGGGGUCUGGAUCGGGAGGUGUAGGGGGUACGGAAUCCGGCCCGACCUCGCCGUGCUCCCCCGUUCUCCGCCUGGCGGGGGCCGGUGGGGUCCUCUGACGCGGCAGGCAUCCCUCGCUCUCGCCUCCUGUGGUUGUUGCCUUGUCGGGGGCGGCCCCUCUCCGCGGCGGUGGGGGGCUCGUCCCGAUGGCCCGUCGUGCUGCCCUCGCCGGGGUGGUGCGAGCGUUGGCUCGGCUUGGGCCUUUUGCGGUGCUCCUGGAGCGCUCCGGGUUGUCCCUCAGGUGCCCGAGGCCGAGCGGUGGUGUCGUUCCCGCCCCCGGGGCCCCCUCCUCCGGUUGCCGCCAUGGGGUCUGCGUGUGGGUCCCGAGGAGAAGCGCUCAGCUCGUCGGAGGGUUGUCGUCGAGGCGAUCGAUCGAGGUUUUGUGCCCCUCGACGCGGGUUUGAGGGGGUGCCUCGGGUUCCGCUCCUCUCGCCGUAGACCUCAUCCCUCCCUUCCCUGGGUGUCCCUGAGCGCCUCCGUGGGCGGCCCGGCGAGGGGCGACCGGUGGGUGGGGGAGUGUGACCCGCCCUCGGUGAGAAAGCCUUCUCUAGCGAUCCCAGAGGUGUGCUUUGGGGGUACCGGACUCCCCCGGCCCGCCGCCUCUCUCUGCGUUGUGGUAGCGCUUCCGCGUGGCGAUUGGAUUCGCUCGUGUGUAGGCAGAGUUCCCUCUUCCUCCUCGGUGGCGGGGAGAAGUGGGGUCCGCCGGUCUCCGCGGUGGGGACCGAGCGCCGCUCGUCGCCUACUGUGGCCCGCGCCUCCCCCCUCUGAGUCGGGGGAGGGUCCCGCCGGGCCGGGCCCUGUGUCCUCGCCGUUGGGGAGGUCGUCGCUUGAAGGCUGGGUGCGUGUGGCGUCCCGUCUGGCGCGUGACCCCCUUCCGCUGCGAGCCGGCUCUCCGCCCGCUCCCGUGCCGUGCCGAGCCCUUGCCGGUGCCGGCGACCGCGCUGUGUGCGGGGCGACGGGUCGGGCCGCCUGGGCCCGGGAAAGCGUCCCCACGGUGGGGCGUGCCGGUCUCCCGGAGCGGGACCGGGUCGCGGAUGGACGAGAUCCUGGGUGUGUCGCCCUGGCGUCGGGCUUGUCGCUGUGGUCGCUCCGGGGCCCCCGGCGGUGGGGUCCGGGUCCCGUGAGGGGUCUCCGCGGUGGUGCCGAGGGCCGGCCGGUGUCCCGGGUGGGAGGGCUGCGGGACCGCCCUCGUGUCUGUGGCGGUGGGAUCCCGUGGUCGUGUCUUCCCCGGUGGCCCGGCUGUGCCCGAGGUUCCCGCCCGGGUCCUCGGCGGGCUCCCGUGCCCCUGCCCUCGUGGGCCCCGGCCCUGCGUGUGCGCCCGCUCCCCGCCGCUGCCUGCCGAUCCUUUCUCUCUGAGCGGCUCUCCGGCUGCGCCGGGGCGGCCCCGUCUGGGACCCGAGCCGGCUCCGCCUUGAGGGGCGUCGCCCCCGGCCACCAUCGGCCGGUGUCCGCGUCCCCCCGGCGUGUGCCUCGGCUUCGCGCACCGGCGGCGGUCGGCCCCGCGCGGGCCCGGUGGGCGUUGGAGAGGUCGGGUCGGCCCGCCGCGUGUGUAGGGAAGACGGUUAUGGGGCGCUGGCUGCGACUGCGGUGGCGGUGUUGGGGAGCCGCGGGCCCCCGAGAGGCGUGCGUGGGUCGCCGAAGGCCAGGCGGCCGCUCCGUGUGCCGCGCGGGACCGCCCCUGUGUGCCCAAACGGGCCGCUGGCGGUGAGACCCCGUUGUGUGUCCACGGCUGCUGCGGUCGUCUGUGCCCGAGGCUUCUCCCCGGAUCCUCGCGGUGGCCCGCCGCCCACCCCCUCCCCGCUCGCCGCCUUCCCCGCGCCUUCCACGGUCGCCUCGGGCUUGCCCGGGGUCUCGUCUCCUCCCGAA
rnacentral:precursor_RNA from 1 species